rnacentral:rRNA from 1 species
AAAUUGAAGAGUUUGAUCAUGGCUCAGAUUGAACGCUGGCGGCAGGCCUAACACAUGCAAGUCGAACGGUAACAGGAAGCAGCUUGCUGCUUUGCUGACGAGUGGCGGACGGGUGAGUAAUGUCUGGGAAACUGCCUGAUGGAGGGGGAUAACUACUGGAAACGGUGGCUAAUACCGCAUAACGUCGCAAGACCAAAGAGGGGGACCUUCGGGCCUCUUGCCAUCAGAUGUGCCCAGAUGGGAUUAGCUGGUUGGUGAGGUAACGGCUCACCAAGGCGACGAUCCCUAGCUGGUCUGAGAGGAUGACCAGCCACACUGGAACUGAGACACGGUCCAGACUCCUACGGGAGGCAGCAGUGGGGAAUAUUGCACAAUGGGCGCAAGCCUGAUGCAGCCAUGCCGCGUGUAUGAAGAAGGCCUUCGGGUUGUAAAGUACUUUCAGCGGGGAG